GACGUAGGUGGCGAACGUUAUCCGGAAUUAUUGGGCGUAAAGGGUGCGCAGAUGGCUUGGUAAGUUGGCGGUGGGAAAUCGAGGCUCAACCUCGUGGAAGCCGGUAAUACUAUUAGGCUUGAGUGCAGGAGAGGUUAACGGAAUUCCAUGUGGAGCGGUAAAAUGUGUAGAUAUAAUGGAAGAACAUCAAUAACGGCGAAGGCAGUUAACUAUUCUGCCACUGACAUUGAGGCACGAAAGCGUGGGGAGCAAAACGGG
rnacentral:rRNA from 1 species